UGAAAUCUAUCUCACGUGGCUGUGGCAUGUUGAUUGUUUCUUAUUUUUUUUUUUUAACUGUUUAUGUAGUUUUGGAUUUGAUUUGUUAAUAGUUUGCUGAAGAACUCUAUGUUGAAACUCAUGAGUACAACACAUCUGUAGCUUUUCUUCUUUCAACUGGCUUUGCUGGGUUUCUGAGUGGUACUAGCUUCAUGAAAAUGCAUUUCCUUUUUGUUUCAGUUAGAAUUAACUGAUGAUUUAACAAAGCCUAGAAUUACCCAGAGGAUGGGGCUCAAAACAAAAACAAAGAACCCUGUAUCUUCUGGAUUUGGCCCUCUUUAUCAGGUUGGCCUGUGUCUGUGUCUGAGGGGAACUGUCUUGAUGGGUAAUUGAUGUAGGAGGGCAUAGUCCACUAAGGGCAGCACCAUGCCCUAGUCAGGUUGACUAUACAAAAAAGCUACCUUAGCAUGGAUCUGUGUACCACAAGCAGUAUUUUGUGGUUUCUGCUUCAAGUUUCUGCUUGAGUUCCUGUCUAGACUUCCCUCGGCAAUGAACUAUGACCUGGAAGUGUAAGCCAAGUAAAUCUUUCCUCUCCAAGUUGUUUUGGCCAUAGUGCUUUAUCAUAGCAACAGAAACGAGACAGGAGUACUUCAUUUUUUUAAAAGGAGAUUAUAUGAUUGUUGUAUGGAGUCUGCUUUAGCUAUUUUGUAGAAUCCUCCAGUAAACACAGCGGAAGCAGGAAAUUUCUUUGCUAGGAUACUUUUAAGUCCCAAAUUCAAUUUUGUGGCCAUCAAGCUAUCAGUGAAAUCCUGACCAUAACUUUUGGGGAAUUUGUCCAUUUCUUCUCACCAGUUUUAUUUUCCGACACUGGUGGCCUGUAUCUUGAAUGUAUCUGUCUAACUGAGGUUUGUCAACUCCAUUGUUUUCCCUGAAGAUACAACUUUUUGUUCUAUUGAUUUUGUUGAUUUUUUUAACUUAAUUGAUUGCUCUUCCUGUUUUUUUUUCUUUCCUUCCUUCACUCGCUUUGCAUUUUCUUUGCUAUUAUUCUGUUGGCUUCCUGAGGAAGAAUCUUACAUCACUGCUCUGUGCCCUCCCCUCUUCUCUGUCCCCUGUGUGGGUGUUUUAGGGCUAGGAAUUUCUCUCAGCUUUAUUCCUGCAACUUCUCAUGGUUCUGUUGUGAUUUCGAUAUGGCAUGUCUUCCUUUACUUCUAUAUAUUCCAAAUCUGUUUUUGUGACUUCCACUUGACUCGUGAGUUGUUUUGAAGUGUGUAGCUUAAUUUUCAAACAUUUAGAAAUGUUUAUGUUGUGUUUUCCUUGUUCGUUUCUAGUCUGAUUCCAUUGUUAUUAGAAAACACACUCCUUGUGAUGUUGAUUAUUUUAAAAGUAUUACAGUUUACUUACUGGCCCAGGGUAUGGCACAUGACUUGGUGAAUUUCCUAUAGGCUCUUGGGUAAAUGGGAGUAUAACCCUUUUGAAUAGUGUCUUGGUUCUGUUGAGCUUUUGUAAGAAAGUUAUAGUAAGCAGGGGCCAGGGAGAGAAUUCAGUGUUAAAGGAUGUACUCUAUGCGCUGGGGACCAGUGUUUGGAUUGGCAGAACCCAAGUGUAUGCCAGGUGGAUCUUGUGGUCCUCUUGUAAUUCCAGACUCUGAGGAAACAGGGAAUUCCGAGAAUGAAAUGGCUAACAAAAGUAGACAUAUCAGUAAACUCUUUGAGAGAGCCUACCUGGAUCAAUAAGGCAAAAUGGCAACUAAGUCCUUAUGUCAGCCUCCAGCCUCCAUACACACCCUCACACACAUGCACCUGUAUACACACAUGUAUAUGUGUAUGUAUUGGUGUAUAUAUGUGUGUGUGUGUGUUUAUGUGUGCAUAUGUGUGUCUGUAUAUAUAUAUGUGUGUACAUAUAUCUAUGUAUGUAUAUGUGUGUAUAUAUAUAUAGUUGUGUAUACGUAUAUAUAUGUGUGUAUAUAGAUAUAUGUUUAUAUGUGUGUGUAUAUGUAUGCGUACAUGUGUGUGCAUGUGUAUGUGUGUGUAUGUGUGUGUAUGGACACAUAGAGAAAUGGAAAAAGAAAGAAGUUAUCAUGAGCUGAGUCGUGUAUAAACAGUGUGAUUAUUUCUCACAGACUAAAAGACUGGGAAUCCCAGAAUCAAGUUUCCUUUGCAGAGAGCCUCCUUGCUUGGUCUUUACCUGGUGGAGGGAGGAAGUGGCUCACUGAGCCCUGUCUAAGUGCUCCCUAACCAUCCACCCUCUUGAGCUAAAACCUCCAAAGGACCCAUUUCCUUAUACUGUGGCCUUGGGGGUCAGAUUUUCAGCAUGUGAGCUGUUGGAGGGACACAGACCAUCGAUCUAUCGAUCUACCACAGGUGGAGUGUUCUGCUCGUUUUGAUUAGAACCAGUUGAUUAGCUGUAUUCCCCAGCUGUAUUCCUUAACCAAACAGACUUCCUGUGCUAGUGACUUUUUUGACCCCUGAGAGGAAGAUGCUGGACUUGUCCUAUUCUUUCAGCUCUGUCAGGUUUUGCUUCGUGUAUUUGGAGGCCCUGUUGUUUUGUGCACGUAGAAGAUCAUAACACGCUCCCGAAUCCCUUUGCAGUAGUUAAUCCUCUUGGUAUCGUGCUUUUAAAAAGAAUCACCAGGAUAGCCUAGCAUGUUCUUCCUUUCCUAUUUUAUUCAUUAACAAGUAAUGUAUGUUCUGUUGGUGGUGGUGAGAUAUUUUACAAUACUCAUUAAUCCCAAUGUAUCUGCAUCCGGAUAGACAAUAAUACGUCAUCUGAUGAUUUUAUAUUUAUCAUAUUUUUCUAACACUCAAAUUGAAAUCUAACUACAGGCUUACAGAUGGGGGGGUUAAGAUUUGAAUAUGCAGAAAGCAAUGUCUACCAGAUUCUUGGGUAUGUACACAAGGGCUUAUAGACCAAGAUAUCACGUAUAUACCUAAAAACCUAUAUAAAACCUCAUGUCCAGGGGCUGGGGAGAUGACUCUGUGAUUAAAAGCACUUGCCUCUCUUGCAGUGGACUGGAGUUGGGUUCUCAGCACCCACAUGAUAACUCACAACAGUAUGUAGCUCUGGGUGAUACAUCAGCCUUUUCUGGACUCCAUGGACAUAAGGCAUCCAUGUGGUGUAUAUAUAUAUACAUGGAUGGUAUAUAUAUAUAUAUAUAUAUAUAUAUGUAUAUAUAUAUAUAUAUAUAUAUAUAUAUAUAUGUGUGUGUGUGUGUGUGUGUGUGUGUGUACAAAACACUCAUGCACAUAAACAUUGUUUUAAAUUAAACAGAAAUCUCAGGUGUUUACCCAAGGACUAUACUAGGAUCUUUAAGGAUCAUGGUCAAUUCACUUUGAAAUUAUGUAAACAGCGCUAGAGAAUAUGAGAUGUUUCUGUUCAUCAGAAGAGAAUAUGGAUUUUAGAAAACAUUGAAGGGGCUGAAGACCUGGCUUAGCAGAUAUAAGCACACUUGCUGCGAAGUAAAGGAACCUGAGUUCAAUUGCGAGCAUUCAUGCUAGAAGCUGAGUAUGUGCGAGCAUGCCUGGUACCCCAGACAGGAUGGGUAAAGACAGGAGGAUCCUGGAUGCUGGCCAGCCAGCCUAGCUCAAACAGUGAGCUUCUGGUUCAAUGAGAGACUA
rnacentral:lncRNA from 1 species